CGCGAUGUUGGCUGGAGUGUUCUUCUGGCAGUUGGCCGGCCCAUCUUCGUCCUCGCUCACGUCCGAGUAUGGGCCCGUCGUGGCCAGCUCGGCCUCCAGUUGGCGGUUUAGC
rnacentral:pre_miRNA from 2 species